rnacentral:rRNA from 1 species
ACAAGUGAGAAUGCCGGUAUGAGUAACGAAAAGAUCAGUGAGAAUCUGAUCCGCCGAAAGCCCAAGGUUUCCUGAGGAAGGCUCGUCCGCUCAGGGUAAGUCGGGACCUAAGGCGAGGCCGACAGGCGUAGUCGAAGGACAACAGGUUGAUAUUCCUGUACCACCGUAAUCCGUUAUGAGCGAUGGGGGGACGCAGGAGGGUAGUGACGCGGACUGAUGGAUGUCCGUCUAAGCAGCGAGGCUGGUGUAUAGGCAAAUCCGUACACC